GUGCUCUCAAGCGACACCAACUAUUGGAGACUGUCGCUCGCAAAACACAUUUUUACGUGCUAAAAGUAAAAUGCAAUAUGUAUAAAAUGUAGGCUGUGUUUUCCGCUGCUUUGUGCUUAGUACCAUUUAGCAGCUCGGCUGCUGUUUCUGAGCUGCGUUUCUCAGUACCCCAUUACAGCCAGGUGUUGGGACACCCUGUGUAUCUCCCAUUAGUUUUCUGGGGGAAAUACAGGGAGGGAUGUACUGAAAUCCAGUCUCUAGUAAUUGUGUCCUAUCAUUUCGGUGGAAGAAGGUCUGCAUGUCUAUUGCAUUAUCGUUUACUGGAUGUUUGUGGUUUAAAGAUAAACAUGCCAAGGAACGUAGAGAUAAAAGCAAGAGUUCGUGACUGGGAGCGCACUCUUCAAGAAUGUUGCAAUCAAAGCAAAACUCCCGGAGAGUUGAUCAAACAGAGAGAUGUUUUCUUUAACAGUAGCCAUGGUCGUCUUAAGUUACGAGACUUUCAGGAUGGACAGGGCCAGCUUAUAUACUAUAACCGUCCGGAUCUUGUUGGGCCUAAGCUUUCAGACUACUCCAUCUCCAACACAACUGAUCCUGCUGACCUUGAGAGAGUGCUGACUCAAGCCCUGGGAGUCCGUGGUUCAGUAGUAAAGGAGCGUCUUCUCUUCCUAGUUGGACAAACCCGGAUUCAUCUUGACAAAGUGCAGAGUCUGGGAAAUUUUUUGGAACUUGAGGUGGUCUUAACAGACUCCCAGACUCUUGGGGACGGAGAUAAUAUUGCUCAAGAUCUCAUGACUAAGCUUGGGAUUCAGCCUGAUGACCUCAUGACGGGAGCCUACAUGGAUCUCUUACAAGGACAGCACACAGGACCGUCAUCACUUCCAACUGACUGUGAGCUUGUACAAACAGUAGACAACUGAAAGUCACACCUGAACAUGGAAGAAUUCAUUCAACAAACAAAAUAAUGAACUUGACUUAUUUUUUUAAUGAACUCUCUGCUAUUUGUGUUCAGUCCAAAGAAGACAUACUGUAUUCUUGCAGUAACUCACUACUGCUUCGAUAUGGGUAUUUACUAAAUUAGAACCGUGUUAGGUCAGGUUGCUUACAUAGUAGUGUGAUUUAUUCCAUUGUAUUUUAUCCUUUUCAGUUCAUUUAUAUUCUAUUAUGAGGCACUUCGUUUCUGGGUACUUCAGGCAUAUCUCUCCCUUUUAUAUCAACUGAGGCCAUUUAAAGAUAAUAAUGCACUGCAUAGUUGCAAUCAAAUCAGUAUUUGUUUACCCUUUUUGUUCUUUGGUUCUGACUUUGAAACAACAUAGAACUUCCAGGUCUAUAAAUUAGCUGUCGCCAAGAUUGUUCAAGUAUUCAGAACCAGUAGAGGAGAAACUAUAAACAUGAUUUUAAUAAAACUUUAAAAUGUAAA